CAAUGGAAAGGAGGGGACUGCUGUCGGAUGUCUCAUGGUUUCUUCAGCUGGUGGAAGUCCUCAGAGGAGAACAGAAGAUGGUCUCCACAUCGUAAGACCACUUUCAUCAUAUCGCCACUGUGAAUGCCACCUGUACUGUGUCAAGUACAAAAAAAACUCCAGACUUGGCCCAGUCCCAAGGUACAAGGCCGCUUGCGCCAGCAGCGUGCGUCAGCAAGAUAGCAGAAGCCGGAAGAGGACCCGCCGGAAGACACGUACCCUGGCCGGAAG